rnacentral:lncRNA from 10 species
AGCCACUCUUACUAUUUAUUCACAUAAUAACACAGGAGAAGAAAAGAAACACUCUAAGAACACAUCGAAGCGAAAUUUCAAGGGAAACAUAUUAUCACUCAGGAAUUAUCACUCAGGCAGGAAAGACCACCCCUUGCUACCAACACCAGCCACUUGCCCUUUUAGGGCCCCGAGCCCUCUCACCCCCUCCCAUCUGUCACCCACUCCUCCUACCUGUUACCCACUCCUCCUACCUGGGUCUUUCCCUCAUGCGUUAGCCCCACGGACACCAUCGGAACUGCUUUCUCCCAGAUUCCUCGGCCUUUGAUUCCUUCCACCUCACGCACAUGACAAAACCUUAACCCUGGUACAACAAUCUACCUUUUUCUUUUCUUUUUUGCUCCUGAGCACAAAAUCUUCCAGGGUUUCUUGAAAAUCCUUACAUGGGCUCUUUCUCAACUCUUUCUCCCAUUUCCCACAAGAGAUAUUCCAAAAUUACACCAUUCUCUUGAAACUCUAUAACCUACUACCUUCCUCUCCAAAAGGCAGCAGAGGCCAUGAGGUAGGGACCACAAGCGUUGGUUCAUUGUUCCUAAAUCUCUUUAUUGCUCUGGAAGCUGGCCCCUCCCUUCACCUUCUCUGUGGGCUCUCAGCCCUUGGACUAGAAAUGAACUUGCUACAUCCACCCAUCUUCCAAAAAUCACUCCCCGAGCCUGUUGUCCGUUUCCUCCUCUUCACUGCCGAAUAACUUGUCCUCCAGGCUGCAACCUUCUCACAUCCAUUCCUUACUCCAUCCACUCAACUCCAUACCCUGUUGCUUCCCCACAUCUGCUGUGGGAGAGGCCCUCAAUGAACUCUCCAUUGCUAACACCAAUGGACGUUUUUUCCGUCUUUAACUUCCCUCUCCUCUCCACUACAUCUGGCAUGGCCACUGCCUCCUCCUUGCAAUUCUCUCCGAUCUUGGCAUCCAAGAUGCUUCUUUCCAGCUUUCCCUCUUCUCAGGCUUCUCCUUCCCAGUCUCUUUUGUGGGCUCUUCUUCCUCUGCCUUCCCGUAAAUGCUGAUAUCCCCCAUGGUUUUGUUCUAGACUGUCUUCUCUUCUACUUUCAAGGCAUUAAUACUACUUACAUGCUGACAGUUCCAAAAUCCAGGUCUCCAGCCAGAUCUCCCUCCUAUAUCCAAUUGAUUAUUGAAUGUCACCCUUUGGGUGUCCCAAGGUGUCUGCACCCAACCUCAUCAUUUUGCUUACCAAAUGCCCCACUUGCUCCUUGGACUUCUUAUCUGAAUGAAUGGCACUUUUACCCAUCGUCCGAGCCAGAAACCUGGGAUUCAUUCUUGACCUUUCAAAUCUAUUUUCCAUGCUGCUUACAAAUGA